rnacentral:rRNA from 1 species
AUUGAACGCUGGCGGAAUGCUUUACACAUGCAAGUCGAGCGGCAGCGCGGGGCAACCUGGCGGCGAGCGGCGAACGGGUGAGUAAUGCAUCGGAACAUGUCCAUGUCGUGGGGGAUAGCCCGGCGAAAGCCGGAUUAAUACCGCAUACGCCCGAGAGGGGAAAGGACCGGGGACCGGCAAGGCCUGGCGCGAUUGGGUUGGCCGAUGUCCGAUUAGCUAGUUGGUGGGGUAAAGGCCCACCAAGGCGAUGAUCGGUAGCUGGUCUGAGAGGAUGAUCAGCCACACUGGGACUGAGACACGGCCCAGACUCCUACGGGAGGC